GAAGGGUUGGCAGAUUUGAAAUGUAGUUAGCUUGAAACUAAUAGGAUGUGGGUUUGAUUCCCAUACCCUUUU
rnacentral:tRNA from 1 species